AUGAACUCUAAUACUCUCCUAUAAUGACAUGUCCAGUCCAGCGUUACCCAAGUUCAUGAAAAAGGAAGGAAGAGAACCAAAAAACACAGGCUCAUGCCAGGUGGCAUAAUAUAUAGUCCUGGCUAUGGAUUCACCAGCACUGCUGCCAUCCCCUUCGAGUGUCUGUGUGCUACUCUGCUGUGAGGCCCACCUGUUCCCGUCUGCUGGCAUGAUCCAGUUUUUUUUGUGUGAAAAAGAUAAACGAGGGCCUCUGUACCCUCCACUGUGACCUUACAUUCAAAUUAAAGAGCAGCCACAUGCUAGAUUUGAUCUUAACAUCCACUAGACGGGCUAUAAAAACAUGCAAUAUGAUGACACGUAAGCGGAACUAUAAAAAAAUAUGAAUAAAAGCCUGUUAGUUUCUUUCUUAAA